CCUACGGGAGGCAGCAGUGAGGAAUAUUGGGCAAUGCCCGCAAGGGUGACCCAGCAACGCCGCGUGGAGGAUGAAGGCCGUAAGGUUGUAAACUCCUGUUAGAGGAGAAGAAUAGUACCGAUUGGAUCGGUAUUUGACUGUACCCUCAGAGAAAGCCCCGGCUAACUACGUGCCAGCAGCCGCGGUAAUACGUAGGGGGCAGGAGUUAUCCGGUGUUACGGGGGGUAAAGCGGGCGCAGGCGGGAGAGGAGAAAUCCUACAGCUUAACUGUAGAACUGCCUUUGAUACUGUUAUUCUUGAGUUCGGGAGAGAGAGACGGAAUUCCAGGUGUAGUGGUGAAAUACGUAGAUAUCUGGAAGAACACCAGUUGCGAAGGCGGUCUCUUGGUCCGAUACUGACGCUGAGGCGCGAAAGCGUGGGGAGCAAACAGGAUUAGAUACCCCGGUAGUC
rnacentral:rRNA from 1 species